CCUACGGGAGGCAGCAGUGAGGAAUAUUGGUCAAUGGGCGGGAGCCUGAACCAGCCAAGUCGCGUGAGGGCAGACGGUCCUAUGGAUUGUAAACCUCUUUAGGCGGGGAGCAAUGCCGGGCACGCGUGCCCGGAGGGAGAGUACCCGCAGAAUAAGCAUCGGCUAACGCCGUGCCAGCCGCCGCGUUAAUACGGAGGAUUCGAGCGGUAUCCGGAUUUAUUGGGUUUAAAGGUGGCUUAGGCGGAUUGUUAAGUCAGCGGUAAAAUGUCCGGGCUCAACCCGGGCCGGCCGUUGAAACUGGGGAUCUUGAGUGGGCGAGAAGUAUGCGGAAUGCGUGGUGUAGCGGUGAAAUGCAUAGAUAUCACGCAGAACUCCGAUUGCGAAGGCAGCAUACCGGCGCCCGACUGACGCUGAGGCACGAAAGCGUGGGGAUCGAACAGGAUUAGAUACCCCUGUAGUC
rnacentral:rRNA from 1 species